GUCCUGGAGGGGGACAAAAGAAAACAGACAUAAUGUCACAGAAGGUAAACAGCUGAACUUGACUGCUGAGAACCCAGUAAUAGUUCUACUUUAAUAAAGGAAAUAAUAAUUAACAAAAUAAACGAAGCAUGAGUAUUGUUUAUCCAUCCAUCUAUCUUCCAGCAGCUUGUCCAGUGUAGGGUUGUAGGGGGGGCAGACAGCUUAGGGCAGAAGGCAGAAAAACACAUGAUGGGAUGCCAGACCAUUCUAGAAUACACAGACGCACACACACACACACACACAUACACACAGCCAGACAGACACAAAGUCACACAACGGGAAUUUUUGCAAGAUACUUCUAAAAGUCAAACAUUUUAAGGGGACAUAGGAAACAGGGUUUUGUGUCAAAGUUUGAAACCUUAUCGCAUACCAUGUCUACACAUACAGUGUCCCAUGAAAAAUUUACAAGAAAAUCAAUGUUUUCUUUUUAUUGCAUAAGUUUCAUAUCUGUGGUGCAGGGGGUUUCCUGUCCAAAGUCAACAUUAGGGCAUUUAAGUAUCACUACCUCACUUAUUUUCCAGGCAGUAAAGCUUCAAUAAUACAAUAAUUGCAGGAGCUGCUAAGGAGUGAACCUUUAAGAAAGAAAGAUAUUCAAUACCUGUUCCAGAUGGACAUCUGCAUUAUUCAGAACAAGCUUGGCACCUGGGCUGGGCCCAAACACACAGAACCCCCCUGUCAGAGCGGAAGAGGUGGAUUGGGGUGAGAAGGGGGGGGGUCCUACCAUGUUGGGUUCCACGGAGAUGUGCCAGGAGCAGCUGAUGCCUGCUGGGUAAUCCACCUCCGGCCAAUUGGGCGUCUUGACUGUCCCCUGCGGCUUCGUCAGCCGACCUCCGCAGAACUGGUGCUCUUGGAUUCGGAGGAACAGAAGCCCUGAAAUCCCUUUUGCACACCUUUUAUAUUCUCAUAUCUAACCCUGACGGUUCUCUUCUUGUGUUACUACGUGACAUUCCAGUUCUUGAAUUAAUGACUUCACACUGAAGUUUAGUAAUUGGGAUGGGGGAGGGGGAGAACGGGGACAGGACAAGGGUGCAGAAGAGCAGUGCUUUGACUAACACUUUACUUGAGGAGGCACAAGUAACUCAGUUUCAACUUAUGUACAAAUCAUGAACUAAAAUAGUUCCUGCAUGAAAUACAUGAACUGUUGUUGAACAAACAAGGGAUCAGUAUGUAACUAAUACUUGGUUUCUGGUUAAUUAAAACAUUAGGUAAGAGUAUACUACUACAUUUGCAUACUACUACCUCAAGUAAGGUGUUACCACCUUAUAUGAUAUAUGCCUUAUAACACUGUAUUAGGAGUGUGUAUAUAACUUCUUUAUUACAGAACAUAUCCUUUCAAAAUAACAGUAUCCUGCUUAUUCUUAUGGUGCCUUCAUUUAACUACCCCUGCGAGAUGCAAGAAGGAAACAACGCAGAAAUAAAGAUAAAGAACAUUAUUCCUGGAAAUACAGCGUCUCAAAGGUACAAGCCUGGGAGAGAAGAGAGUGCAGGCAUGACGAUGAUGAGGCAGAAGAUUUACAGCGUUCUCUCACCAUCCACAUGCGGUUUGCCCCCACGAAAGUAUGCUAGGAAGCCGCGGCCCCCCGUCUCCGAAUCUGACUCCAUCUCCACCAUCAUGGUGUUGCUGGUGGAAAUCAGGCUGCCAGGACGGAAGGUUCCACAGAACCGGCCCAGCAUCUGUGCUGUGCGGGUGUGCCCGUUGUAGACGUCUACGAAGUCAUAACGGCAGCGUGGGUCGGCCUCCAGGUCGAAGACGCGGAAGGACAGCAUGACCACAUGGCCUUCUGGGACCUGGCGUGGUGACAGUUAUAGCUGAUUGGGCCACCUGGACUUCCUGCCAGUGUGUGGAAACAGGAAAUAUGCCCGGUGGGUAAAAAUGGACCACAUGACCCUGACAAAACGAAUGCGAGAGCUGUGGAGACGGUCCCAGCGUGAGCGCUCGGACUCAAGACCCGCUGGAGAGCUAUGAUGUGUACAGUGUGUAGGUAUAUUUGCCAAACGUAACAAGCAAGAUACAGAAUGUUAAGGAACUGUUUGGAUUAUUCUUAUAGAGGCUAUAUAUAUAUAUAUGAAACAUUGUACAUUUACAUUACAUUUAUAUAUAUAUAUAUAAAUUUACAAUUGUGUCCUUCAAGUGUUUCUGCCUUGUUCAAGCAAUUAAAACUCUGCAGAUCUUGAAUAAACCUACAACAAGCUAAAUGCAAUGUGGUCUUAAACUAGCUUAAGUCACUAUGCUAUAUGUGAGUGAUGUAAGUCAGUGUUGUAUGAGUCAAAAGGGGGGUAGGUCAUUAAUAACAGUUUAGUUAAAAACAGAUAACUUUGCUGAUGAUAGUUUCAGAAUUUAUAAGAUUUAUGUUAAGGUAAAGUGCAUAAUUUAGUAUCUGGUAAUGUCUGAAUGUGAAGUGAUUGUUUAGUAAUAAUUCUGAUUGGACAUUUUUUUUUGGUGAGUUUGAGCUCGAUAUAUUUGGAAGCGACAGUUUGACGGUGUACCUGGUAUUAUAACUGUGUGUUUUAAAGUGAAUACUUAGAAGGAAAGUUACAUUGUCUAUUCACUCACAUCAUGAAGAACUGUCUGUCUGUUUGACAGUGGUACAGACAGUGUAGGUGUCUUUCCUAAACGGAAGACUUUGGUGUCUAAAGUGUCGGAAAAAAAAGAAACUUCCAUGUUCUGGCCCCAUGUCCCUGUGCUGUAUAAGACUUUGGAAGAGGGAUGGACUAUGAAGUAAAUUCCCAGUUGCAUGUGUGUCUGGAC